AGAGCGGGUACGGGUGCGGAAACACUGUCNCACUGCCUUUUAUCUGGGGGAUAGCCUUUCGAAAGGAAGAUUAUACCCCAUAAUAUGUGAAUGGUAUCAUUCGACAUUGAAAACUCCGGUGGAUAGAGAUGGGCACGCGCAAGAUUAGAUAGUUGGUGAGGUAACGGCUCACCAAGUCUACGAUCUUUAGGGGGCCUGAGAGGGUGAUCCCCCACACUGGUACUGAGACACGGACCAGACUCAUACGGGAGGCAGCAGUGAGGAAUAUUGGACAAUGGGUGAGAGCCUGAUCCAGCCAUCCCGCGUGAAGGACGACUGCCCUAUGGGUUGUAAACUUCUUUUGUAUAGGGAUAAACCUACCCUCGUGAGGGUAGCUGAAGGUACUAUACGAAUAAGCACCGGCUAACUCCGUGCCAGCAGCCGCGGUAAUACGGAGGGUGCAAGCGUUUAUCCCGGAUUUAUUGGGGUUUCAAAGGGGUCCCGUAGGCGGAUCUGUAAGUCAGUAGUGAAAUCUCACAGUUUAAUGUGGAAACUGCAUUGAUUACUGAGGUCCUUGAGUGUUGGUUGAAGUUAGCUGGAAUAAGUUAGUGUACGGUGAAU
rnacentral:rRNA from 1 species